GCGCAACAGGCGAGAAAACUUCACACUGUGCGAAAGCACGAUGAGGGAAUCCCAAGUGCUUGCACGUAAGUGUAAGCUGUUUCUCUGUUUAAAACGCAGAGAGAGUAAGGGCUGGGUAAGACGGGUGCCAGCCGCCGCGGGUAAUACCUGCAGCCCAAGUGGUGACCGUUAUUAUUGGGCCUAAAAACGUCCGUAGCCGGUUUUAAUAAAUGCCUGGGGUAAAUCGUGUAGCUUAACUAUACGAAUUCCGGGUAGACUGUUAAACUCGAGACCGGGAGAAGUUAGAGGUACUCCUGGGGUAGAGGUGAAAUUCUGU
rnacentral:rRNA from 1 species